rnacentral:rRNA from 1 species
GUUGUAUGGUUAAGUGACUAAGCGUACACGGUGGAUGCCUUGGCAGUCAGAGGCGAUGAAAGACGUAGUAACUUGCGAUAAGCCCAGAUUAGGUAGUAACAACCAUUUGAGUCUGGGAUUUCUGAAUGGGGAAACCCACUUACAUAAGUAAGUAUCAUUAACUGAAUACAUAGGUUAAUGAGGCGAACCGGGGGAACUGAAACAUCUAAGUACCCCGAGGAAAAGAAAUCAACCGAGAUUCCGAAAGUAGCGGCGAGCGAAAUUGGACUAGCCCUUAAGCUUUACACGCGUUAGACGAACGGUCUGGAAAGUCCGACGAUACAGGGUGAUAGUCCCGUAGUUGACGACGUGUGUUCAGUGAAAUCGAGUAGGGCGGGACACGUGAUAUCCUGUCUGAAUAUGGGGGGACCAUCCUCCAAGGCUAAAUACUACUGACUGACCGAUAGUGAACCAGUACCGUGAGGGAAAGGCGAAAAGAACCCCUGUGAGGGGAGUGAAAUAGAACCUGAAACCGUGUACGUACAAGCAGUAGGAGCAGGCUUUGUCCUGUGACUGCGUACCUUUUGUAUAAUGGGUCAGCGACUUAUAUUCAGUGGCAAGGUUAACCAUCUAGGGGAGCCGUAGGGAAACCGAGUCUUAACUGGGCGUUCAGUCUCUGGAUAUAGACCCGAAACCAGGUGAUCUAGCCAUGGGCAGGUUGAAGGUUGAGUAACAUCAACUGGAGGACCGAACCGACUAAUGUUGAAAAAUUAGCGGAUGACUUGUGGCUAGGGGUGAAAGGCCAAUCAAACCUGGAGAUAGCUGGUUCUCCCCGAAAGCUAUUUAGGUAGCGCCUCGGACGAAUACUACUGGGGGUAGAGCACUGUUAAGGCUAGGGGGUCAUCCCGACUUACCAACCCUUUGCAAACUCCGAAUACCAGUAAGUACUAUCCGGGAGACACACGGCGGGUGCUAACGUCCGUCGUGGAGAGGGAAACAACCCAGACCGCCAGCUAAGGUCCCAAAUUACUACUAAGUGGGAAACGAUGUGGGAAGGCUCAGACAGCCAGGAUGUUGGCUUAGAAGCAGCCAUCAUUUAAAGAAAGCGUAAUAGCUCACUGGUCGAGUCGGCCUGCGCGGAAGAUGUAACGGGGCUAAGUAGUAAACCGAAGCUGCGGCAAUAUACUUUUGUAUAUUGGGUAGGGGAGCGUUCUGUAAGCGGUUGAAGGUGUGUGGUAACGCAUGCUGGACGUAUCAGAAGUGCGAAUGCUGACAUGAGUAACGAUAAAGGGGGUGAAAAACCUCCUCGCCGGAAGACCAAGGGUUCCUGUCCAACGUUAAUCGGGGCAGGGUAAGUCGACCCCUAAGGCGAGGCCGAAAGGCGUAGUCGAUGGGAAACGGGUUAAUAUUCCCGUACUUCUUACAAUUGCGAUGGGGGGACGGAGAAGGCUAGGUGGGCCUGGCGACGGUUGUCCAGGUUCAAGUGCGUAGGCUUGAGAGUUAGGUAAAUCCGGCUCUUUUUAAGGCUGAGACACGACGUCGAGCACCUACGGGUGUGAAGUCAUUGAUGCCAUGCUUCCAGGAAAAGCCUCUAAGCUUCAGAUUGUAAGGAAUCGUACCCCAAACCGACACAGGUGGUCGGGUAGAGAAUACCAAGGCGCUUGAGAGAACUCGGGUGAAGGAACUAGGCAAAAUGGUACCGUAACUUCGGGAGAAGGUACGCUCUUGAUGGUGAAGUCCCUUGCGGAUGGAGCUGACGAGAGUCGCAGAUACCAGGUGGCUGCAACUGUUUAUUAAAAACACAGCACUGUGCAAAAUCGUAAGAUGACGUAUACGGUGUGACGCCUGCCCGGUGCCGGAAGGUUAAUUGAUGGGGUUAGACUUCGGUCGAAGCUCUUGAUCGAAGCCCCGGUAAACGGCGGCCGUAACUAUAACGGUCCUAAGGUAGCGAAAUUCCUUGUCGGGUAAGUUCCGACCUGCACGAAUGGCGUAAUGAUGGCCACGCUGUCUCCACCCGAGACUCAGUGAAAUUGAAAUCGCUGUGAAGAUGCAGUGUACCCGCGGCUAGACGGAAAGACCCCGUGAACCUUUACUACAGCUUGGCACUGAACAUUGACCCUACAUGUGUAGGAUAGGUGGGAGGCUUUGAAGCACGUACGCCAGUAUGUGUGGAGCCGUCCUUGAAAUACCACCCUUGUAGUGUUGAUGUUCUAACGUCGACCCCUUAUCGGGGUUGCGGACAGUGCCUGGUGGGUAGUUUGACUGGGGCGGUCUCCUCCCAAAGAGUAACGGAGGAGCACGAAGGUGGGCUAAUCACGGUUGGACAUCGUGAGGUUAGUGCAAUGGCAUAAGCCCGCUUGACUGCGAGAAUGACAAUUCGAGCAGGUGCGAAAGCAGGUCAUAGUGAUCCGGUGGUUCUGAAUGGAAGGGCCAUCGCUCAACGGAUAAAAGGUACUCCGGGGAUAACAGGCUGAUACCGCCCAAGAGUUCAUAUCGACGGCGGUGUUUGGCACCUCGAUGUCGGCUCAUCACAUCCUGGGGCUGAAGUCGGUCCCAAGGGUAUGGCUGUUCGCCAUUUAAAGUGGUACGCGAGCUGGGUUUAGAACGUCGUGAGACAGUUCGGUCCCUAUCUGCCGUGGGCGUUGGAAGAUUGAAGGGGGCUGCUCCUAGUACGAGAGGACCGGAGUGGACGAACCUCUGGUGUUCGGGUUGUGUCGCCAGACGCAUUGCCCGGUAGCUAAGUUCGGAAUCGAUAACCGCUGAAAGCAUCUAAGCGGGAAGCGAGCCCUGAGAUGAGUCUUCCCUGAUACUUUAAGUAUCCUAAAGGGUUGUCGGAGACUACGACGUUGAUAGGUCAGGUGUGUAAGUGCUGUGAGGCAUUGAGCUAACUGAUACUAAUUGCCCGUGAGGCUUAACCAUACAACACCCAAGGGGUUU